rnacentral:tRNA from 2 species
GGGAUUGUGGCUCAGUGGUAGAGUGAGUGCCUAGCAUGCAUGAGGCACUGGGUUUGAUUCUCAGCAUCACA